rnacentral:rRNA from 1 species
UACGUAGGGGGCAAGCGUUGUCCGGAUUUAUUGGGCGUAAAGAGCGUGUAGGCGGUUCGGUAGGUCCGUUGUGAAAACUCGAGGCUCAACCUCGAGACGCCGAUGGAAACCCCCGAACUAGAGUCCGGAAGAGGAGACUGGAAUUCCUGGUGUAGCGGUGAAAUGCGCAGAUAUCAGGAGGAACACCGAUGGCGAAGGCAGGUCUCUGGGCCACUACUGACGCUGAGAAGCGAAAGCAUGGGGAGCGAACAGG